rnacentral:rRNA from 1 species
AUUGAACGCUGGCGGCAGGCCUAACACAUGCAAGUCGACCGAGUGGAGGACGGGUGAGUAAUGUCUGGGAAACUGCCUGAUGGAGGGGGAUAACUACUGGAAACGGUAGCUAAUACCGCAUACCAUCAGAUGUGCCCAGAUGGGAUUAGCUUGUUGGUGGGGUAACGGCUCUCCAAGGCGACGCUCCAUAGCUGGUCUGAGAGGAGGACCAGCGACAUUGGAAAUAGUAGACGGUGCAGACUCCUACGGGAGGCAGCAGUGGGGAAUGUUGCACAAUGGGCGCAAGCCUGAUGCAGCCAUGCAGCGUGGAUGAAGAAGGCCUUCGGGUUGUAAAGUACUUUCAGCGAGGAGGCGUUACCCGCAGAAGAAGCACCGGCUAACUCCGUGCCAGCAGCCGCGGUAAUAC